AUUCCGUUUUGUGGUGAUUUGGCCGGCCGGCUUGCAGCCACGUUAAAGAACUCGCUAAAAAGGGCCGCGUUUACGACCG
rnacentral:ncRNA from 2 species